GGCAACUUGGCCGAGUGGUCUAAGGCGCUGGAAUUAGGUUAAUCACUUAAUCAAUCCAGUCCUCCGGGGCGUGAGUUCGAACCUCACAGUUGUCA